rnacentral:rRNA from 1 species
GAUGAACGCUGGCGGCGUGCCUAAUACAUGCAAGUCGAGCGGACGGACGAUAAGCGUGCUUCUCUGGUGUUAGCGGCGGACGGGUGAGUAACACGUGGAUAACCUACCUAUAAGACUGGGAUAACUUCGGGAAACCGGAGCUAAUACCGGAUAAUAUUUUGAACCUCAUGGUUCAAAAGUUUUAGACGGUCCUGCUGUUCCUGAUAGAUGUAUCCGCGCUGCAUUAGCUAGUUCGUAGGCUAACGGCUUACCAGGGCAACGAUGCAUAGCCGACCUGAGAGGGUGAUCGGCCGCACUGGAGCUGAGACACCGACCAGAGUCCUAAGGGAGGCAGCAGUAGGGAAUCGUGGGCAAUGGGGGAAAGCAUGACGGAGCGGCGCAACGUGAGUGAUGAAGGUCUUCGGAGCGUAAAACUGUCUUAUUAGGGAAAAACAUAUGUGUAAGUAACUGAGCACAUCUUGACGGUACCUAAACAGGAAGCACCGGCUAACUACGUG